UACGAAGGGGGGGCUAGCGUUGUUCGGAAUCACUGGGGCGUAAAGCGCACGUAGGCGGAUUGUUAAGUCGGGGGGUGAAAAUCCUGAGGCUCAACCUCAGAACUGCCUUCGAUACUGGCAAUCUCGAGUCCGGAAGAGGUUGGUGGAACAGCUAGUGUAGAGGUGAAAUUCGUAGAUAUUAGCUAGAACACCAGUGGCGAAGGCGGCCAACUGGUCCGGU
rnacentral:rRNA from 1 species